UGGCGGACGGGUGAGUAACGCGUGAGUAACCUGCCUUACACAAGGGGAUAGCCGUUGGAAACGACGAAUAAUACCCUAUAACAUUAACCAAUCGCAUGAUAGGUUAAUCAAAGAUUUAUCGGUGUAAGAUGGACUCGCGUCUGAUUAGCUAGUUGGUGGGGUAACAGCCUACCAAGGCAACGAUCAGUAGCCGGUCUGAGAGGAUGAACGGCCACAUUGGAACUGAGACACGGUCCAAACUCCUACGGGAGGCAGCAGCG
rnacentral:rRNA from 1 species